GAGUUUGAUCCUGGCUCAGGACGAACGCUGGCGGCGUGCUUAACACAUGCAAGUGGUGCGACGAACCAGGGCAAGCCCUGGGGCAAAGCCGCGAACGGGUGAGUAACACGUGAGUAACCUGCCCCGAUGACCGGGACAACCCGAGGAAACUCGGGCUAAUACCGGAUGUGGUGCACAGUCAAAAGUCUGUGUACUAAAGGAAGCUUCGGCCUCCGCAUUGGGAGGGGCUCGCGGCCCAUUAGCUAGUUGGUGGGGUAACGGCCUACCAAGGCAACGAUGGGUAGCUGGUCUGAGAGGACGAUCAGCCACACUGGGACUGAGACACGGCCCAGACUCCUACGGGAGGCAGCAGUGGGGAAUCUUGCGCAAUGCGCGAAAGCGUGACGCAGCAACGCCGCGUGGGGGAAGACGGCCUUCGGGUUGUAAACCCCUUUCAGGAGGGACGAAGGUUCACCGGUGAAUAGCCGUGUGGAUUGACGGUACCUCCAGAAGAAGCUCCAACUAACUACGUGCCAGCAGCCGCGGUAAUACGUAGGGAGCAAGCGUUGUCCGGAAUCAUUGGGCGUAAAGCGCGCGUAGGCGGCCCUGUAAGUCCGUUGUGAAAGUCAAAGGCUCAACCUUUGAAAGCCGAUGGAUACUGCAGGGCUAGAGUCCGGAAGAGGCGAGUGGAAUUCCUGGUGUAGCGGUGGAAUGCGCAGAUAUCAGGAGGAACACCAAUAGCGAAGGCAGCUCGCUGGGACGGUACUGACGCUAAGGCGCGAAAGCGUGGGGAGCGAACAGGAUUAGAUACCCUGGUAGUCCACGCCGUAAACGAUGGGCACUAGGUGUGGGAGGUGUCGACUCCUCCCGUGCCGUCGCUAACGCACUAAGUGCCCCGCCUGGGGAGUACGGCCGCAAGGCUAAAACUCA
rnacentral:rRNA from 1 species